GGCCAAACAAACUUUACUGUGGGAUGC
rnacentral:piRNA from 1 species